rnacentral:tRNA from 1 species
GGCUCGUUGGUCUAGGGGUAUGAUUCUCGCUUUGGGUGCGAGAGGUCCCGGGUUCUAUUCCCGGAUGAGCGC